CUCGUGCUUUGUGAUUUUUGAAUUUCAGGGCAACAACGGUCAUGCCUAACUUUCCUGAUCAUCUUUGUGUUACAAAAUUUAGACAUAUGUAAACCGUUGUGAGGAUUAUUUUUGGGGGAAAUACAGUGAAAAUUAUUUACAGCUAUUUGAUGUAAACAAAGUCUUAUGGAGUUAAGCAAAGUGUGCGCGUUAUGUGGACUAAAAUACAUGAACACAAGAACCUUAAUGUUCAUACCGAAAAUUUGAAAGCUGUUGAAAACAUCUUACAUUAUGCUAAACAAUUAAAAACCAAGGAAAACAACAAUACCAACAAGGCAUUGGGAGGGUGGCAAGCUGCCUUCUUAUAUUUAAGCUGUCCUAGUUUGAGCAUUGAGAAACAGCCUGAUAAAUAAACUAGCCCAAAAGCAGAAGGACAAUGGACAUGGGAGACUAAAAAGUAGAAUGUCAGUCAUACCACUUACAUGAACCCUACCAAAAUCAAAGUUUUGAAAGAAUAUGUGAGAGAAGUAUUUUUAGUGAUGCAAUUACCGAAAGAUUCGAGGAAGGUCUGAGCUACUCUAAAGACUUUUCAAGGAACUACCUGUACAAAAGAGUGAAAAUGUGGACUCUAAAUCAAAAAGUUCAAUUCAUUAUAUUAAGUGGAAGGCAAACAUUAGGAAAAUAUAAAGAUAUUAUGGAUGUAAUAUCUGUAUAAUGGUGUGUUUAAAAAAAGAAAUACACAGGAAUUAUAGAUGGUUUUAUGUUUUAAGUCUGGCCACUGAUUUAUAAAAGAAAUGAAGGCAAUGAUUCC